rnacentral:lncRNA from 1 species
UCACUACGAAAUUCACAUGAGUACACAAAUCUGUAUAUCUAUCCUAAGAACAGGUGGGACAGGCAAACAUGCCAAUUGUCAAAACUCAGUAUGACAAAUCUUCUUGAUCUUGAAAAUCCAAACAUUCUCGACUUUGGUGAAAGAACUUCCAAACUCAUGCCUGCACAGCAACCUCGGUAUUGAAGAUUCAGCCACAUCACAACAAGGUCAAUCAGUCACUCACCCUACAACCACCAUAUCUGAUAUAUGAGUUGAACAGCAACGACAACAUCCUGCAAGUAGCUCGGGCAAAAGCAAAUCUUGCACCUGCUCUACAUACAUCAAACAUCAUCUGCAAGAGUGAAGAUAAAGCAAAUUCAGGAAUGCGUCGUUUACUACAAAAGGUAUGUGUUUUAAAUAAAUUAUAUAUAUAAAACAUAUCUGAAAUCAGAUUUUCCAAACAUCUGAAAAGACAACUUCUGUCUAAAAAUCUAAUUAGGAUAUGUUUGUUCAUAUCCACCAAGUAGGGUUUAUUGAAAAACAAACCCUAAAAGCUGCUAACCAUCCAAAAG